rfam:Anoxybacillus flavithermus strain 25 c72, whole genome shotgun sequence.
CACACCUUUUAAAAGAAGUCCAGCGAGGCUUACAAAGGUGUGAGCGAGGAAAUCCGUUUACUAAAACGGUCUCUUUCCUCAUGCUUUCAAACACCUUGCCUCGCUUGGCAAGGUGUUUUUACU